rnacentral:rRNA from 1 species
UACGGAGGGUGCAAGCGUUAAUCGGAAUUACUGGGCGUAAAGCGCGCGUAGGCGGUUUGAUAAGUCGAUUGUGAAAUCCCCGGGCUCAACCUGGGAAUUGCAGUCGAGACUGUCAGACUAGAGUGUGGGAGAGGGUGGUGGAAUUCCCGGUGUAGCGGUGAAAUGCGUAGAGUAUCAAGAGGAACACCUGAGGUGAAGACGGGUUGCUGGGCUGACACUGACGCUGAGGCACGAAAGCCAGGGGAGCAAACGGG